rnacentral:ncRNA from 1 species
UCUGCACAGCGCUGUUCUAAACCGUAGUGCAACUUUUUGCUUUUACUUAGUGAUGUGGGGAGCCCAGCAUCGAGCGGGCUCUUGCUUCUGGUGUCAAGUGCCGAUACUCGCCGGGGGGGGUUGACCCGGCACCUGGUGGUCAAGACAGGUGGGGGAGCUUGGCUGGAGCGAUACACCUGCAGGUGUCCUAAGGUGUGCUCAGCAAGGACAGAAAUCUCCAGUGGAGCAGAAGGGCAAAAGCUGGCUUGAUCUUGGUUUUCAGUAUGAAUACAGACCGUGAAAGCAGGGCCUCGCAAUCCUUCUGACUUUUUGGGUUUAAAGCAGGAGAUGUCAGAAAACGUACCACAGGGAUAACUAGCUUGUGGCAGCCAAGCGUUGUUUUUUUAUACUUCAGUGUCAGUGCUUCUUAUCACUCUGAAGUAGAAUUCACCAAAAUUAAUUUGCUAUUACGUAGGUGGCUGUGGCUCGGCAGGAAGAGC